rnacentral:lncRNA from 1 species
UUUGGUGUUUGUCAGAUAUAAUGCUCUUCAGGGGCUGUGGUGGCGCUGAUAGAACUGGAGUCUGGAGAACAUGAAACAAUAGCCAGGAGCCCCAGGAGCCUGCAGCAUGUUUUUUUUGUAGUAAUUACUAGCCUUUUCCAUGAUUCAAAACUAUGUGACUAAUUGUGCCUGGGACCUUAAAAGUCACUGGAUCAGUAGACAUGGGAAAAAGUUCAAUAUCAUUACUCUUCAAAGAAAUGAAACUUUUAAAAGUCAGGAAACAACAGAUGCUGGAGAGGAUGUGGAGAAAUAGGAACGAUUUUACACUGUUGGUGGGAGUGUAAAUUAGUUCAACCAUUGUGGAAGACAGUGUGGCAAUUCUUCAAGGAUCCAGAGCUAGAAAUACCAUCUGACCCAGCAAUCCCAUUACUGGGUAUAUACCCAAAGGAUUAUAAAUCAUUCUACUGUAAAGACACAUGCACACGUAUGUUUAUUGCAGCACUGUUCACAAUAGCAAAGACUUGGAACCAACCCAAAUGCCCAUGAAUGUUAGACUGGAUAAAAAAAAAAAUGUGGCACAUAUACACCAUGGAAUACUAUGAAGCCAUAAAAAAGAAUAAGUUCAUGUCCUUUGCAGGGACAUGGAUGAAGCUGGAAACCAUUCUCAGCAAACUAAGAGAAGGAACAGAAAACCAAACACUGCAUGUUCUCACUCGUAAGUGGGAGUUGAACAGUGAGAACAUAUGGGCACAGGGAGGGGCACAGCAUACACCGGGACCUAACAGGGGGUAGGGGGAAGAGGAGGAUAACCUUGGGAGAAAUACCUAAUGUAGAUGACGGGUUGAUGGGUGCAGCAAACGACCAUGGCACAUGUAUACCUAUGUAACCAGCACAUUCUGCACGUGUAUCCCAG